rnacentral:rRNA from 1 species
CAGUCGCCGCGGGAAAACGGAGGGAGCUAGCGUUGUUCGGAAUUACUGGGCGUAAAGCGCGCGUAGGCGGUUACUCAAGUCAGAGGUGAAAGCCCGGGGCUCAACCCCGGAACUGCCUUUGAAACUAGGUGACUAGAAUCUUGGAGAGGUCAGUGGAAUUCCGAGUGUAGAGGUGAAAUUCGUAGAUAUUCGGAAGAACACCAGUGGCGAAGGCGACUGACUGGACAAGUAUUGACGCUGAGGUGCGAAAGCGUGGGGAGCAAGCAGGAUUAGAUACCCGAGUAGUCCCUGUCUCUUAUAA